CACGUAGGGUGCGAGCGUUGUCCGGAAUUAUUGGGCGUAAAGAGCUCGUAGGCGGUGUGUCGCGUCGGCCGUGAAAACCUGCAGCUUAACUGUGGGCUUGCGGUCGAUACGGGCAUCACUGGAGUUCGGCAGGGGAGACUGGAAUUCCUGGUGUAGCGGUGAAAUGCGCAGAUAUCAGGAGGGAAACACCGGUGGCGAAGGCGGGUCUCUGGGCCGUAACUGACGCUGGAGGAGCGGAAAGCAUGGGGAGCGAACAGG
rnacentral:rRNA from 1 species